rnacentral:tRNA from 6 species
GGUGAGGUGCCGGAGUGGCCGAACGGGCUCGCUUGGAAAGCGUGUGUAGCCGUAAGGUUACCGUGGGUUCGAAUCCCACCCUCACCG